rnacentral:rRNA from 1 species
UACAGAGGUCUCAAGCGUUGCUCGGAAUCACUGGGCGUAAAGGGCGCGUAGGCGGGAUGGCAAGUCGGUCGUGAAAUCCUUCGGCUCAACCGAAGAACGUCGGCCGAUACUGCCGUUCUUGAGGGAUGCAGAGGAGAUUGGAAUUCCCGGUGUAGCGGUGAAAUGUGUAGAGAUCGGGAGGAACACCGGUGGCGAAGGCGGGUCUCUGGGCAUCUCCUGACGCUGAGGCGCGAAAGCGUGGGGAGCAAACGGG